ensembl:lncRNA
UUUGGUCAUCCCAUCUCUCUGAACCAUCUCUUCAUCUGUAAAAUGGACAUCAUAAGGCCAGCUUCUGGAUGGGCAUGAGCAUCCUAUGAGAUGCUUUGGAAACAGGAAUCAUCAUACUGAGAGCACAGGCAUUCGUGAAUGAUUAGACAUGCACACUGAGGAGCUACAAGCUCACCCUCAAGGAAGGGACAUGGAGGAGCAGAGAUGUGCAGAGAACGCUUUUACAUUCAUUGUCCAGGAAGCAACAGUACCUUUGGUCUAUGGUUCAGGCUGAUAGUGAUAACCACAGGAGGACUACAAGGUGGCUCCUGAGGACAGAGAACCCGGUCGGGCGGCUGCUUUUCCAAGAAGGCCAACGAGGGAUUCAC